AGGGAAAAUGGUACCGGGUUCGGGACUUCUACGACUUUUAUCCUCUCCGCUCUCACCAGUCGUCUCCCUUACCCCAAGGUCACGAUUGGAUUUGCAUGACUGUUUGAAGUCAUCAGGAAAGGUAAUUCAAGAUGAGUUUAGAUGGAUUACCAGAUUCAACAUUCAAAGGUCAAGGAUGGAAAUAUCACUUCAAUACAUUUACCUUAAGAGGGAAAUUUAAUCUUUCUGUUUUAACACUGGGUUGUUAUACACUUUUUGGAUUGUAUAAGAUGGGAGGAAAGAAGAAGAAAGCAGUACAAGGAGUGAAAAAAUGACAAUAUUAUUUGUUGUUUGUGAUAUUUUCUAGAGUUGAAAUGUAAAUUAAAAUAUGUGCUUGAUAAA